rnacentral:lncRNA from 1 species
AUUUGAAAUUAUAUUUGAGAUGUCUGCCUGCCUUAUUGAAUAUAAGUACUUUGGUUUUAGAUAAAUUUACAGUAAGACACCACUGUUUGCAAAACUUAUCUAAAAUAUCUAGUUUUUGUUGAAGACCAUGCGAUUAGGAAGAGAGCAGAACAAUAUCAUCUGCAUACAUCAAACAAUGUAUAGGCCGAGAGUUUAGUAUAAUUGGAUCUGAUGUUUGUUUGAGUAAUGAAGGAAGAUCAUUAAUAAAAAUUUUGAAUAAGUUAGGACUUAGGUUGUCGCCUUCAUUAGCUCCCAAUUUACUAUCAAACAUUUUAGUGCGAGCAGUGUUACUUGUUUUUAUACAAGAUUUACUUACAGUAUACAUAUUCUUAAUAACAUUAUAAAAUUUAGUACCAAACCCUAUUCCUAAGAGUUAAAGUCUUAAUCCUGUAUGAAUUACAGUGUCAAAAGUCUUUCUUAAAUCAACAAAGCAGGCAAACACUCUACCAUCCUUAUCAUAUGUGAACAAUAUUUAUCAAUAAUGCAUUUUAAUAUAAACAUAUGUUGAGAUGUUCAAGCAUUUGUUUGUGAAACCAAUCUGAGAGUCAUGUAUUAGAUUAUGCUUUAUUAAAAAAUUAUCCAAUCUAGAGUUUAAUAUGCAAUUGAAUAAUUAACCAACACAGCUGGUGAUUGUCAGGCCUCUAUAGUUACUUGGU